AGAGUUUGAUCAUGGCUCAGGACGAACGCUGGCGGCGUGGAUUAGGCAUGCAAGUCGAGCGGCAAGGAAGCUUCGGUUUCCCUAGAGCGGCGAACGGGUGAGUAACACGUGAGAAACCUGUCCUUCUGUUCCGGAUAAUUGGGAGAAAUCCCUUGUAAUACGGGCGACGAUCCUUGAAAGGCAUCUUUUAGGGAAGAAACACGAAAGUGGUAGAAGGAGGGUCUCGCGGCCUAUCAGUUAGUUGGUGGGGUAAUGGCCUACCAAGACAACGACGGGUAGCUGGUCUGAGAGGAUGGUCAGCCACAUUGGAACUGAGACACUGUCCAGACUCCUACGGGAGGCUGCAGUCGAGAAUCUUGGGCAAUGCACGAAAGUGUGACCCAGCGACGCCGCGUGGAGGAUGAAGGCGCUCUGCGUCGUAAACUCCUUUUAUCCGAGAAGAACGCUCCGUAAGGAGUUUGACGGUAUCGGAUGAAUAAGCCACGGCUAACUACGUGCCAGCAGCCGCGGUAAUACGUAGGUGGCAAGCGUUGUCCGGAAUUACUGGGCGUAAAGCGAACGCAGGCGGAUUGUUAAGUCAGAAGUGAAAGGUUGGAGCUCAACUCUAACAUUGCUUCCGAGACUGGCAGUCUUGAGUGCCGGAGAGGAUGAUGGAACGACACGUGUAGCGGUGAAAUGCGUUGAGAUGUGUCGGAACACCAAUGGCGAAAGCAAUCAUCUGGACGGAAACUGACGCUGAGGUUCGAAAGCCAAGGGAGCGAACAGGAUUAGAUACCCCCGUAGUCC
rnacentral:rRNA from 1 species